rnacentral:lncRNA from 1 species
AGCUAUUAUUCGUGUGUUUCUCUAUCCUUUAUGUUCUCCCAUUUAUUUGUAUUGUAGUCCUGUCAUGUAAUGUUGUCAUUUUAAUGUUAUAUUUAACAUUGCCAUAAAAGCGGGAUGUUUGGCAUACCACAAAUCCAGGUUCAACCCACCAUUUUUUUUUCUUAAAAUGUCCUGUACCAAGUCAGGAAAAUUGCCAUUGUUAUAUUAUAGUUUGUUUCUGUGUGUGUUACAUUUUAAUGUUGUGUUUCUGUUGUGUCGUAGUUCUCCUCUUGUAUUUGAUGCGUUUCCCUCAGUUUUAGUUUGUAACCCGGAUUUGUCUUUUUUUCAAUCGAUUUAUGAAUUUCGAACAGCGGUAUACUACUGUUGCCUUUAUUUAUUCUGAAUCCUUUGGACCUUAAUGAGGACCAAUUUGAAAACAAGCCCGAAAAUGAAAAAAAUCUAAAUACAU